AGUAUCUCCAAAGCGUGUGUACAAAAGACUUGAGAAGCGUAGCAUAUGUCUCGUUCACAAGCAGAAAGGAGAAGUAAGGUUUUGCUUUUCGCUCGAUUUGCAACGCUGGCACCUAAUUAAGACGCCAUUUGCAAUACACACCAGACAGCCUAUGUUGGACACCAACACACUUAACAACAAAACGAUUAUCUUUUCUACUCUUUGAAAAAGGUGAAAUAAAGUCACCGAAACUGUCGGAUUAAGAAACAAAAAAUCGUUUUUGCUUCUAUACACGGACUGAUUAAGCCGAUAAAUCUACAAAAAUAUAUUCGGAC